rnacentral:lncRNA from 1 species
CUGGUUGAGGCUCUCCCUCCAUGGCCCACAAAGCCUGAAAUUGCUUGACCUCAUAUUGAUGUCCACUUCUUCUCAGCUGUUUUGAUACGCGGCUUGACUUGACCCUCUGACACCAGAGAACAUAUACAUCUUGCUCUGGCCUCAGAAAAAAGGCAGGCCUCAGUGAUUAUCUCUAAGAUCUGCUCCUGGCUUGAGAGGAGCCCGGUCUGGACCUCACCAUUGCCAAGGGCACUCUCCCUCUUGCGCCUGCGUUCUGCCUCCCAGCACUUCCCGGGGGGUAGUGCUUGCUCCCUGGCCCCGGAACCCGGUCUAUGGUAUGUCCACUUCCCCUGUUCACGCACUCUGGAGUUCUUCCAGCGAGUGCCGCUCAGGCUUUAGAAGAGGCGGUGAAGAGAAUCUCUCCCCGGAUGGCCGUGCACUCCCCUGUGGUCCCUGCACCUUCCCAGCUCCUGAGGGCACUUCCUCUUAUUUUCUCCUGUCCUCAGAUGACCUCACUCUCUUCAGCGAAAGGUGCUCUCUGCUGCAGCCUCCGGCACUAUUCAGGCCUCCACAUAAUCUGCAUAACCGGCCUCCCCUGGUUCCCGCAAAAUCUAGAUUCCAGAUCACUUCUGCCUCUUAAGCUUCCCCAGUGUGCAAUCAGCCCCUCUCAGAAAAGGUGUAUUCUAGGAGGGGAGGAAAAAAGUUCCCGAAAGCCAUGCUUAGAAGUGACUGCGUUUAAAACAACAACAACAACAACAACAACAACAACAACAACAACAACAACAACAACAACAACAACAACAGCAGCCCAGUGUUCUUAAAAACCACCUUUCUGAAACCAAAUCCUGCAGGUUACCAAGUCCCAGCCUCUCUCUCUGCUGCCUAUUCUCGAGAUGCACAAUGACAUGAUCCUAAUAGAUUUCUGUUCAGGAUUCUAUCUUUUCUCUGGUUAGGCCUUAGUAGAAAUAUUUCAUUUGGGGGAUUCUCUACCCUGUAUUUUUCUUUUUUAAUUAGAUUUUUCGCAUAUGGUUCUCAUUUCUAAGUGCUGACUUCUCUUCCAUUGUCUUGUAUCAAAGUUUUGACAAUUCGUGAGGCUUCUCUGACUUUAGCCUCUGCUUUGCAGAAAAGAUGGCUUUGUCUCGCAAGGGUCAUCUUAACCACCGUCUGUAUCUACUCGUGUUUCCCAGGAGAGGUUUGGCAGUCAGCCA